UUGACCUAUCAUUGUGAAGCAGAAUUCACCAAGUGUUGGAUUGUUCACCAACCAAUCGGGAACGUGAGCUGGGUUUAGACCGUCGUGAGACAGGCU
rnacentral:ncRNA from 1 species